rnacentral:rRNA from 1 species
AUUGAACGCUGGCGGCAGGCCUAACACAUGCAAGUCGAGCGAGCGGCGGACGGGUGAGUAAUGUGUGGGGAUCUGCCCGAUAGAGGGGGAUAAAUACGGGAAACGGUCGCUAAUACCGCAUACUAUGGGGUGAGCCCAUAUGGGAUUAGCUAGUAGGUGGGGUAACGGCUCACCGAGGCGACGAUCCCUAGCUGGUCUGAGAGGAUGAUCAGCCACACUGGGACUGAGACACGGCCCAGACUCCUACGGGAGGCAGCAGUGGGGAAUAUUGCACAAUGGGCGCAAGCCUGAUGCAGCCAUGCCGCGUGUAUGAAGAAGGCCUUAGGGUUGUAAAGUACUUUCAGCGGGGAGGCGUUACCGGCAGAAGAAGCACCGGCUAACUCCGUGCCAGCAGCCGCGGUAAUUC